AUUGAAACACUGGAUCUCAUAAGACCACCGAAGUUAAGCAACAUCGAGCCUGGUCAAUACCUAAAUAGGUGAUCACUUGGGAAUACUAGAU